GAACUUUCGAGAUCCCAAGAUUCCUAUAUAAAGCACACUACAGCGCCUCGGCUCUCCAUCAUCAUCUUCCAUAGCCAUUUCUGGAUUCGAUCAGAAGAUUACAGAUUUGAUAUAACAACUUCGCUGUUUUUUUUUUUUUUUUUUUUCUGCUAGUGUGUGAACAGCAGAAAUGGGAAGAAAAAGAAAAAAAGAAAAGUGUUGUGUGAAGUUUGAUAUUUGGUGUGAUGUAUCAGUGAAUCUAAACCCUAAUAUUAUAAUAAGCGUUGAUUUCUCCCUACGAUUCCAUUGUAAAUAUUUGUUUAGAUUUAGUCCUUAGAAGAGCAUAUUUCACAUCUGGCCCAUGCAUGAUUUUUCUUGUAUUCAUUGUGCUCUAAAUGGGUUCGAAUUCAAGACUUGAAGAUAUAUCAUAGAUUGAUAUUUAAAUUUUUAUUAAAAA
rnacentral:misc_RNA from 1 species